CGAUUUGACUUAUUUUACGAAGUCAGCAUGGCUUAACAUAGUUUCUUUCGUUUAUGACCUCGACAUUGUUGCUGGAUAGAUACUUUCAUAUCUAACAUACUGGCGAUGCUAGCUAGCUAACCUCAUACCUGGAUGCCUCACUCUASUUCCCGAGAGAGCAGCAUACUGAUCUGCCACCCCCAGCAGUUCAGCUGCAGUCACAGCAGUCCUCUGCUGUGGUAUUUAAUUUACCGGCUGUACCAGUUCCUACUACACUGGCCGUUAAAGGGAGAAACUUUUGAGGAUUCCCAGAUGAAUACAGAUCUGUCAUGCACUCCACCACUGGCUGACAGCCUCACCUAGAAGUGCAUACACUGGGCCUAUCAAGACUGACAAAGCAGAGAUGGGUGGCUGAAAAGGAAAAACAAAACAAC